CUUCACCGAACCCAGCAACAACGGCACAUCCCGCUCCUGCCCAUACGUGGCCAGCAACGCCUGCGCCUC
rnacentral:antisense_RNA from 1 species